rnacentral:SRP_RNA from 1 species
UCCAUAUCCUGGCCGAAGAAGUCUGUGGGAAGGAUCUGUCCCUGGAGGAGUUUUUGGAACUUGGUCGGGAAUGCCAUCUGGCGAGGUUGGGAAAGGAGCAGAUGGACC